CCGGUAAACGGCGGCCGUAACUAUAACGGUCCUAAGGUAGCGAAAUUCCUUGUCGGGUAAGUUCCGACCUGCACGAAUGGCGUAAUGAUGGCCAGGCUGUCUCCACCCGAGACUCAGUGAAAUUGAACUCGCUGUGAAGAUGCAGUGUACCCGCGGCAAGACGGAAAGACCCCGUGAACCUUUACUAUAGCUUGACACUGAACAUUGAGCCUUGAUGUGUAGGAUAGGUGGGAGGCUUUGAAGUGUGGACGCCAGUCUGCAUGGAGCCGACCUUGAAAUACCACCCUUUAAUGUUUGAUGUUCUAACGUUGGCCCGUUAUCCGGGUUGCGGACAGUGUCUGGUGGGUAGUUUGACUGGGGCGGUCUCCUCCUAAAGAGUAACGGAGGAGCACGAAGGUUGGCUAAUCCUGGUCGGACAUCAGGAGGUUAGUGCAAUGGCAUAAGCCAGCUUGACUGCGAGCGUGACGGCGCGAGCAGGUGCGAAAGCAGGUCAUAGUGAUCCGGUGGUUCUGAAUGGAAGGGCCAUCGCUCAACGGAUAAAAGGUACUCCGGGGAUAACAGGCUGAUACCGCCCAAGAGUUCAUAUCGACGGCGGUGUUUGGCACCUCGAUGUCGGCUCAUCACAUCCUGGGGCUGAAGUAGGUCCCAAGGGUAUGGCUGUUCGCCAUUUAAAGUGGUACGCGAGCUGGGUUUAGAACGUCGUGAGACAGUUCGGUCCCUAUCUGCCGUGGGCGCUGGAGAACUGAGGGGGGCUGCUCCUAGUACGAGAGGACCGGAGUGGACGCAUCACUGGUGUUCGGGUUGUCAUGCCAAUGGCACUGCCCGGUAGCUAAAUGCGGAAGAGAUAAGUGCUGAAAGCAUCUAAGCACGAAACUUGCCCCGAGAUGAGUUCUCCCUGACUCCCUGAGAGUCCUGAAGGAACGUUGAAG
rnacentral:rRNA from 1 species